AAGCUGCUAUACGGUGGAUGCCUUGGCAGUCAGAGGCGAUGAAAGACGUGGUAGCCUGCGAAAAGCUUCGGGGAGUCGGCAAACAGACUUUGAUCCGGAGAUGUCUGAAUGGGGGAACCCACCUAACAUAAGUUAGGUAUCUUAAGCUGAAUACAUAGGCUUAAGAAGCGAACCAGGGGAACUGAAACAUCUAAGGUACC
rnacentral:rRNA from 1 species